AAUAGUGCCAAGUCCGAAGACUGGUUCUUGAAUGCGUUGAAUGGGGCUACUGGGUUGUUGGAUAGAGGGUUUUCUGAUUCAGCUUCUGUCAAUUGCUUGCUGGGUCUCGAUGACGAUGGCCUAAAUGGGAAUAAUAAUAAUCUCGAUUUAGUUGGUGGUGUUCGAGAUGUGGAGGGGUCGCAGAAGAACGCGAAGCAAGGUCAGGAUGUCCAUUCUGU
rnacentral:misc_RNA from 1 species